AGCGAACGCUGGCGGCAGGCCUAACACAUGCAAGUCGAACGAACCUUUCGGGGUUAGUGGCGGACGGGUGAGUAACACGUGGGAACGUGCCUUUAGGUUCGGAAUAACUCAGGGAAACUUGUGCUAAUACCGAAUGUGCCCUUCGGGGGAAAGAUUUAUCGCCUUUAGAGCGGCCCGCGUCUGAUUAGCUAGUUGGUUGAGGUAAUGGCUCACCAAGGCGACGAUCAGUAGCUGGUCUGAGAGGAUGAUCAGCCACAUUGGGAUUGAGACACGGCCCAAACUCCUACGGGAGGCAGCAGUGGGGAAUCUUGCGCAAUGGGCGAAAGCCUGACGCAGCCAUGCCGCGUGAAUGAUGAGGGUCUUAGGAUUGUAAAAUUCUUUCACCGGGGACGAUAAUGACGGUACCCGGAGAAGAAGCCCCGGCUAACUUCGUG
rnacentral:rRNA from 1 species